AAUCGUGCUCCGGGGUCGGUGAAAUUCCGAACCGGCGGUGACAGUCCGCGAACCGUGCGUAUCAGUUAUUGUGAUGCUUACGGCCGAACCGGUGCAACUCCGGUACCGACAGUACAGUCUGGAUGGUAGGCAGCACGAGC
rnacentral:ncRNA from 2 species